GUUAUUGUAGCUUAUUGCAAAGCAUGGCAUUGAAGCUGCCAAGAUGGGCAGCCAUACACCCCAAAAACA
rnacentral:tRNA from 1 species